rnacentral:rRNA from 1 species
AGAACGAACGCUGGCGGCAGGCCUCAAACAUGCAAGUCUAGGGGGUGUAGCAAUACAUCACCGGCGGACGGGUGCGUAACGCGUGGGAAUGUACCUAUUGGUUCGGAACAACACAGGGAAACUUGUGCUAAUACCGAAUGUGCCCGAAAGGGGAAAGAUUUAUCGCCAAUGGAUCAGCCCGCGUUCGAUUAGCUAGUUGGUGAGGUAAUGGCUCACCAAGGCGACGAUCGAUAGCUGUUCUGAGAGGAAGAUCAGCCACACUGGGACUGAGACACGGCCCAGACUCCUACGGGAGGCAGCAGUUGGGAAUCUUGGACAAUGGGGGAAACCCUGAUCCAGCCAUGCCGCGUGAGUGAUGAAGGCCUUCGGGUUGUAAAACUCUUUCGCGCACGACGAUAAUGACGGUAGUGCGAGAAGAAGCUCCGGCUAACUUCGCGCCAGCAGCCGC